UGCCCGCUCAUUACUUCGAAAGAAACUUGUGGAACGUUAAUAUCCAAACAGAAAUAAAAACAUUUGUGAAGGGUUUUUUUUUUGCGGCAUUGCCUUUGACGCUGGAUAAAGGAGGACGUGGUAUGGUAUGUUACGGACUUUUGAACUGGAACAGCUAACGCUCUGCACUUGGCUAGCUGCAUUUACCGCCUUUGCAGCAUCUUCAGGAGCGCUUUUGUGUCUGUCUUGUCUUCUGUGUUUUACUGUUAUGUCCAUGCCAGGGCAGAAGUAAAUUUUCAGGGGUGAAGAUGCUGUUUACCUUGACCAGCUAAGACUACAGAUUGUAGAUGAAGUCGAGAAAAGUGAAAAGAAUCCUGAUUACAAAGCUGAUGCACACAACUUUGGCCUUGCGAUGCAAAGAGAUCAUCAAUGAUGACCUACCAGUAGGUCAGAUCCUGGAUUGCUGGCCUACUCUGAAAUCCCAGUCCCAGAUCUGUGCAGAAUUGCACAGGAUUACAAACCUCCACCUGAAGAACCACUUUUAUGCUGUGUUGGACCAACAUUCUCCCCGGCUCCAGAGCUUAUUCAGAUAGAAAGCUGUUUGCACAGGGAACGUGUCUGAUGUCCUGUCUCAGCUCUUCAGAAGCUAAAAUCUCCAGGAACAAGCUGAUAUCCAUGCCCAACGUGCUGGUGUGCUUCAUGCCCUCUCUGCCUAUUUGUACGACGACACCUCUAGCUUCAUCAUAACGUGGGAUCUAAGUUUUGGACAAAGUUGUGAACAAUAUCUUAGUAGCAUCCUUGUUUAGAUUUCUCAAAACAUUAUGACACUUUGACAGUUUGAGAAGCAUCUCCAUGCUUGGAUCUGUCUACAACAGUGUCCAUGUCACAUAAUGGAAACACUACAUGUUUUUAAUAUGUGUAGACCUUCUAUAAUGUUCCUAGCCCAACCAUACAUCACUGUACAAAUGGAAAAAAAAACAAAAAAAAAAACUCUUAUUGACUUUCUGUUAUUGCUACGAAGAGGUAUGACUUUGCUUUACUAAAAAGUACUAUUUUUGUCAGUUUGUUUUCUCAAAUCUUUGGUGUGUUGUGGCUUUUUUGUUGUUCAAACAAUUGAUUUCUGAGCUAGUAAUAAUCCAGAAAUGUGACUUGUAUAGAUGAAACUAAGAGAAAUAGGAAUGUACUAACAUGUAGUAAUUUUGUUUUCUGUAGAUGAUGCAUUCUGAUAGACCAGAUAUUAGUGAAGUGCCACUUGGACUCCUGAUCAGAGCCAAUUCCAGCAAUGCAACAUUCUUCUGCCCUGAGAAGACUGCAGUUUUGGUCGAGGGUAACAUGAUCAUUGUUUUCACCACCCUAGCUGAUGGAUUUCUAGUAAUAUUUGGACUGACCUACGCCCUGCACCUAAGCUACCCAAAAUGUUUGGCCAACAUUUUUGACUUUAUUCAGAAAGUUUUGAUGGGUCUGAAGGGUGGGAAGUUGAAGCCCAAAGUGCUGAGUCUUAAAAAUGAUCUUUUGGCAGCAGAAUAAUGUCCAGGAUUCCUACACAGUCCUCAAGUGCCUGUUAAAGCAAGUAAUUCAGCUUAUCAUGUUUCAAAGUCUGGAUAAGUUUUUUUGUUUUGUUUUUUUAAAGAGAAUAGAAUAAAGAAAUCUUUGCACACUCUGUUUCAUACUUCAUCAUCUUAAAUCCACAUCCAAAGUAAAAGGGGUGAUUUUAUUUUAUUUAUUUAUUUAUUUUUUCCCCAUCAUCACUUGUUUUAGUUGAUUUUGAUUGUGUUUUUAGUAAGAUAACUGUAAAUCCAUAGAGAAAAUGAAGGACAAUCUCACUACAUUUCUGGCUUCUAGGUGGGAUCUUGAAUGUCACUUAAGGAACGUUCCUCCUGAACUGCUCAUAACUGACAUAAGGCGCUAAGGAGGUUUAUAACACUGUUUUAUGUCUCUAAAGAAGUAUUUUUCUAUUUAAUGUUUUAUUGCUUUGUUGUUGAGACUGUGAUUGCACUCUACAAAUGUGCAUUUUGCAUAACCAGAGUACUGGCAUAUUAAAAAGGUUACCAAUUAUAUUUCAGUGUAUUAUACUGCACUAUACUAUACUAUUACUUUCAUUUGGUUUUCCCACAUAAUAAUGCAGGAUUUUCUUUUCCUUUUGUUUGUUUGUUUUUUAAUAAAAAGGUCAUACUCGUGUGUUAAUCAAAUCUGAAUACUCUUAAAACAUGUUGUGAAAUUCUUUAUUUCUAAUAUUGUAACCUUGUGCCAAAACUGGACAUUUCUGACAUUAUUCCCUAUAAAAUGUGGUGGAUUUAUGUCGUUGGACUUUUUGUUAGAAAUGCUAUG